UCCGAUUUGUCACCGGCAGUCUCCCAUGAGUCCCCGACAUUACUCGCUGGCAACAUGGGACAGGGGUUGCGCUUGUUGCGGGACUUAACCCAACAUCUCACGACACGAGCUGACGACAGCCAUGCACCACCUGUAUGGAGCCCAAAAGGACCUCACAUCUCUGUGAGUUUUCUCCAUAUGUCAAACCCAGGUAAGGUUCUUCGCGUUGCAUCGAAUUAAACCACAUCAUCCACCGCUUGUGCGGGUCCCCGUCAAUUCCUUUGAGUUUUAGCCUUGCGGCCGUACUCCCCAGGCGGGGCACUUAGUGCGUUAGCUACGGCACGGGAGGAGUCGACACCUCCCACACCUAGUGCCCAUCGUUUACGGCGUGGACUAC
rnacentral:misc_RNA from 1 species